AUACUGCUCUAUCACACGUCGUACUAGAUGGAUUGCUUCCACAGUCGACCUUCCUGGCAUAAAACCAAAUUGAUUCUCAGUGACUAGAGUCUCUUUUAUUAUUCUAUAUUCAAUCACUCUUCCCAUAACUUCAUGGUAUGACUCAUAAGUUUAAUCCCUAUAGAAUUUUCACAAUUUUGCAUACCCAUUUGUUCUUAUAUAUUGGAACUAAAGUGGUUCU
rnacentral:lncRNA from 1 species